GUUUGACUAUUACUCCCUCUGAAGUCUUCAGCUCCAAUUCAAGCCCUUUGUUCUUGGAAGUGACGUCUCCAAUGGUUUGUUUUAGGAGGGUGUUCUCCACCUCUAUAUCCCUGUAACUAGAGCGGUAAGCUUGGUACUUUUCUUGGAAAAGACUAUUCACUGCCGCCACCUCAAAGCAGAGGUUCAUGGUUUGGAUCAUUAGGUCCUUGUCUUCCUCAACGUUGCACUGAGCCCUAUCACCCGGAAGAAGAACA
rnacentral:misc_RNA from 1 species